UGCGCAGGCGGAAUGAUUAGUCAGUGGUGAAAGCCCUCGGCUCAACCGAGGAACUGCCAUUGAUACUGUCAUUCUUGAGUACAGUUGUAGUGGGCGGAAUGUGUCAUGUAGCGGUGAAAUGCAUAGAGAUGACACAGAACACCGAUCGCGAAGGCAGCUCACUAAGCUGAAACUGACGCUCAGGCACGAAAGCGUGGGUAGCAAACAGGAUUAGAUACCCUGGUAGGUCC
rnacentral:rRNA from 1 species